GAUGAACGCUGGCGGCGUGCCUAAUACAUGCAAGUCGAGCGAACAGACGAGGAGCUUGCUCCUUCGACGUUAGCGGCGGACGGGUGAGUAACACGUAGGUAACCUACCUAUAAGACUGGGAUAACUUCGGGAAACCGGAGCUAAUACCGGAUAAUAUUUCGAACCGCAUGGUUCGAUAGUGAAAGAUGGCUUUGCUAUCACUUAUAGAUGGACCUGCGCCGUAUUAGCUAGUUGGUAAGAUAACGGCUUACCAAGGCAACGAUACGUAGCCGACCUGAGAGGGUGAUCGGCCACACUGGAACUGAGACACGGUCCAGACUCCUACGGGAGGCAGCAGUAGGGAAUCUUCCGCAAUGGGCGAAAGCCUGACGGAGCAACGCCGCGUGAGUGAUGAAGGUCUUCGGAUCGUAAAACUCUGUUAUUAGGGAAGAACAAACGUGUAAGUAACUGUGCACGUCUUGACGGUACCUAAUCAGAAAGCCACGGCUAACUACGUG
rnacentral:rRNA from 1 species